UACAGAGGUGGCCAGCGUUAUUCGGAAUUAUUGGGCGUAAAGGGCGCGUAGGCGGCCGUGCGUGUCUUCCGUGAAAUCCCUCGGCUUAACUGAGGACGUGCGGAAGAAACUGCAAGGCUCGAGUCCGGGAGAGGGGGGUGGAAUUCCCAGUGUAGCGGUGAAAUGCGUAGAUAUUGGGAGGAACACCGGUGGCGAAGGCGGCCCCCUGGACCGGAACUGACGCUGAGGCGCGAAAGCGUGGGUAGCAAACGGG
rnacentral:rRNA from 1 species